rnacentral:rRNA from 1 species
CAUAUUUUAGAGCUUAAUCAAAAUAAAAAAUAAAAUAAAAUUACAUUCAAAUCCAAUUUAAUAAAAAAUUUUCAACAUUUAAUCCAUAUAAAUAAUUUUAUUGUAACCCCACCUCCUCUUUUCCAUAAACUGCAUCUUGAUCUGAUUAAUUUCUUAAUAAAGAACCUUGACCAUUAAAAAUCUUUUAAAAUAAUCUAAUACGACGAUAUACAAAUUAAUAAAAAAAGUCAUUUUUAUUGUGGUUUAUCAAUUAUAGGGCAGGUUCCUCUGAAAAGACUAAAAUACCGCCAAAAUCUUUGUUUUAAAGAAAUUAACUAUUAAUAACCUAAGGUUAAAAUUUACAUUAAAAAUAAUA